CCCCACUCACCGGUGUGAGCGUGGCCGUGGGUUCGACACGUUAAAGCACACCGUGGCGAGGACCAGUAAACUACACCAGGACUGCGUUAAUGGUUGUAGCAGGAAAACCGGACGGUGACUCCAGACUUCUCGGCGCCUGAGUCUUCUUCUCAUCCACCUGCACGUAGUCGACUCUGUACUCAUCCGACAGAAAAGGCUUCUGCUGGACACAGAGGGAGAGACGAGGACACAGGGGAGAUUUGAUGAGCCAGCCGGUGCAGACCACAUCCCCAGCACUCAUCUCGACUGCAGAGCGCGUCGUCCUCACGACUGCUGCUGCUGCUGCUGCUGUGGAACUGAGAGCACUGUCAAGCAUAUCCUGUGUUCUGG